rnacentral:lncRNA from 1 species
CGAAAGGUUAUAUGAUUAUGGCCAAUGUGAAAAUAUCGAGGAGAAACAUGGUCUUGUAGGGCUAGGUUUAAACCAUAAUUUAUAGAAAGAUUAAAAGAUUCCCUAGGUGUAGCUAAAAGUUCAUUAUCUUCUUGAUUAAAAGAUAGGACCUCGGCUAUAGAAAAGGGUUGGUUUUGACCUAUUGCAAUCAACUCCGGACACAGAUCAUAAUUAGGGGCAAAGAAAGGAC